rnacentral:lncRNA from 1 species
AAGAGCAUCACACCCAUAAGAAUGUAUUUGAUGGUAAACAAAUAUGCUUCUUUGGUUAAUGGUAAAUACAUGCAUUUCUUUGGUUAACUUGGGCCCUCUUCUGUUGUCUGCCAAGAGAAAGCACCUUCAGCUUACACUUGGCAAAAUGGCAGAGACCUAAGCUAUGGGAGAAGGCUGUCCUCACACUAUUUGCUUUGUAAGGGGAAGAAGGAGAACGUGUUGUAAAUUGUGUAAGUUGGUGAAACAAUAAUAAAUUGUUGGGACCAUGAAGAUUUUUUCUGUUUUAUUUUUUUCCCAAAAGAGCACUUCAAAAUUAUGAAUACAGAAUACACAGAGAAAUUUUGGUAGUCAUUUCUGCCAUAUGAAAAGGAAACUAGAGAGAUGAAGGAGAUGUAAGGCCUGGAGAAAUGUGGAUGAGAGGACAGAAUGCUAAUAUCCAUUUAUCGAAGCUUUGCAAUUUCAUGAGGUCCCAUUAAGUGGAUAUUAUCCCCAAAGCUCAAAAUACACAAGAUACAAUUCAUAGACCACAUGAAGCUCAAGAAGAAGGAAGAACAAAGUGUGGAUGCUUCGGUCCUUCUUAGAAGUUAGAACAAAAUACUCAUGGGAGGAAAUACGGAGACAAAGUGUGGAACAGAGACUGAAGGAAAGGCCAUCCAGAGACUGCCACACCUGGAGAUCCAUCCCAUAUACAGUCACCAAACCCAGACACUAUUGUAACUGCUAACAAGUGCUUAUUGACAGGAGCCUGAUAUAGCUGUCUCCUGAGAGGCUCUGCCAGAGCCUGACAAAUACAGAGGUGGAUGUUCUUAGUCAACCAUUGGAAUGAGCACGGGGUCCCUGAUGGAGGAGUUAGAGAAAGGACUGAAGGAGCUGAAGGGGCUUGCAACCCCAUAAGAAGAACAACAAUAUCAACCAACCAGACCCCCCAGAGCUCCCAGGGACUAAACCACCAACCAAAAAGUAUACACGGAGGGACCCAUGGCUCCAGGUGCAUAUGUAGCAGAAGAUGGGCUUAUCUGGCAUCAAUGGAAGGAGAGGCUCUUUGUCCUGUGAAGGCUCGAUGCACCAGUGUAGGGGAAUGCCAGGGUGGUAAAGUGGGAGUGGGUGGGUGGGUGGGGGAGCACCCUCAUAGAAGAAGGGGGAGUGGGGAAGGGAUAGGGGGUUUCCGGGACAUGGGGGAAAGGAGAUAACAUUUGAAAUGUAAAUAAAGAGAAUUAAAAAAAAAAAAGAGGACAGGAUGACCAGCUGUCCCUUUUCCAAAGCUGUUGACUAAUAACUAGCAACAUCUGGCCAUUUAUCGAAUGCUUUAUUAAUUAUUGUUUAUAGAAGCAUCUGAUGACAUAACUGUGCAGAAAGGUUUUAAACAACGGAUUGUGGGGGAGAAUGCCAACUUUAAAAGGUAAAUCUAAACAAGAAUAAUAAGUAGGUUUUGACAUCUGUAUCAGUUAGGGUUCUCCAGAGUCAUAGAACUUAUGGAAUGUCUCUCUAUAUUGAGGGAAUGUAUUGUGAUGACUUACAGUCUGUAGUCCAGCUAACCCAACAAUGGUCAGCUGAGGACGGGAAGUCCAAGAAUCUAGUAGUUGCUUAAUCCAAUGAGGCUAGGUGUUUCAACUGAUCUUCUGUAUAAGCUGCAAUCCUAAAGAAGUAAGCUCCAAAAGAUGUGCUGGCAAGUUAAGUGCAAGCAGGCAAAGAAGAACGAGUCUUCCUUCUUCCAUUGUCCUUAUGUAGGCUUCCAGAAAAGGUGUGGCCCAGAUUAAAGGUGUGUACUACCACACCUGGAUCUGGAACUUGCUUUGUCCCAGUCUGACCUUGAACUCAGAGAUCAUCUUGCCUCAGUCUCCUGGGAUUAAAGGUGUGUAAUACCUUGCCUGGACCUAAGCUUUUCUUGGCCACUAUGCCUCCAAGAUCUGGAUCACAGGUGUGCCCUCCAGUUCUGGAUUGUAGUUCAUUCCAGAUACAGUCAAGUUGACAAGAAGGAAUAUCCAUUACAACAUCCACAACUAAUUCCACGUUAUGUAAUUUUUGAAACCCACACUUGCCUCUCUGUACUAAAGUCUGCCAGGAUUCACAUGGCCCCAAUACAAUGGCAUUAAGAACAGUCUAUCAUUGUUUAUUCUUUGUGAUCAGUUGUUUAUCCGGUGUUAAACAAAUAUUGUGGGAAGAAUAGAUUGGAACAGGCUUCAGAACUAUUCUUUGGAUGCUCAUCAACAGAAACACAGAGAGACAGCAGAGCUCAGCACUUGGAUAGAUAAAAUCCAGCAGGAAAUCUAAAAGAAAACUGACUCGAAUUUUAAAUCUUCAACAAUGAAUAGAGUCAUGGGAUUACUGGUAUAAAUGCAAACCUGAUGCUGCAGAAAAUAACUCUGAAUUUUUGUUUCCAAAAAAUAAAUAUAUCAACUUGUCUUUCCAAGGAGAUCCUUAAU